GGCUGCUUGGUCCAGGGGCACGAUGGGUUCUUCGGGCUUCACCAAAGCUCAGAGCGACAAGCUCUUGAUUGAACUCGACCCGGGUUCGAGUCCCGGAGCGGCCC